rnacentral:rRNA from 1 species
UACGUAGGGGGCUAGCGUUAUCCGGAAUUACUGGGCGUAAAGGGUGCGUAGGUGGUUUUUUAAGUCAGAAGUGAAAGGCUACGGCUCAACCGUAGUAAGCUUUUGAAACUGAAAAACUUGAGUGCAGGAGAGGAGAGUAGAAUUCCUAGUGUAGCGGUGAAAUGCGUAGAUAUUAGGAGGAAUACCAGUAGCGAAGGCGGCUCUCUGGACUGUAACUGACACUGAGGCACGAAAGCGUGGGGAGCAAACAGG